GCACCUGUAGCUCAGUGUAUAGAGCGUCUGUUUCCUAAACAGAAAGUCGUAAGUUCGACCCCUACCUGGUGCG
rnacentral:tRNA from 1 species